rnacentral:tRNA from 1 species
GUUUUAGUGGCAGAUUAGUGCAUUAGAUUUAAGCUCUAAACAAGGUAUUAGUACCCUAAAACA